rnacentral:rRNA from 1 species
CCUACGGGAGGCAGCAGUGGGGAAUUUUGGACAAUGGGCGAAAGCCUGAUCCAGCAAUGCCGCGUGAGUGAAGAAGGCCUUCGGGUUGUAAAGCUCUUUUGUCAGGGAAGAAACGGUGAGGGCUAAUAUCCUUUGCUAAUGACGGUACCUGAAGAAUAAGCACCGGCUAACUACGUGCCAGCAGCCGCGGUAAUACGUAGGGUGCAAGCGUUAAUCGGAAUUACUGGGCGUAAAGCGUGCGCAGGCGGUUUUGUAAGUCUGAUGUGAAAUCCCCGGGCUCAACCUGGGAAUUGCAUUGGAGACUGCAAGGCUAGAAUCUGGCAGAGGGGGGUAGAAUUCCACGUGUAGCAGUGAAAUGCGUAGAGAUGUGGAGGAACACCGAUGGCGAAGGCAGCCCCCUGGGUCAAGAUUGACGCUCAUGCACGAAAGCGUGGGGAGCAAACAGGAUUAGAUACCCUGGUAGUCCACGCCCUAAACGAUGUCUACUAGUUGUCGGGUUUUAAUUAACUUGGUAACGCAGCUAACGCGUGAAGUAGACCGCCUGGGGAGUACGGUCGCAAGAUUAAAACUCAAAUUGAAUUGACCGGNUGAGAGNGCGAGACGACGACGAGGGAGGAGG